UCUGAUCUCAUUGGUCUGGGGAGCAACCUGGGCAUCAGGAUUUUUAAACGAGUAGCAGAGUCUGUGGCCGGGACAGGGUGUGGGGAGGAGGGGCAGGCAGCUCUGGAGGUCUGACAGGAGGAAGUGGCAAUGACAUAGCCUCAGGCAGCCUGAGCUUCCAGGGCAGGAAGCCCAGGGCCCAGGGCACCAGGCUGGCCCAAAGUGGCACUUGGGAAAGAUUGGCUGCAGGCCUGUGGGAGGAAAGGGUGGGCGGGACAGAAGGACGGGACGAGAAGAGAGGCAAAAGCCCAGACGGUGCCGUGGGUUUGAGUCCAUUGUCUGUCGCUAGCUUUCUCUGUGACCUGGGACACAUCGCUUCCCCUCUCUGGGCCUCAGUUUCUCCAUCUGGAAAAGGAGAGGAUUGAAUUUGAUGAUGGCUAAAGAUCCUUCCGGCUCCAGGGUUGGAGGACACCCCAGGCUGGACCUCCUAGUGUGAGAUAAGCCCGCAUGGAGUUUCCGAUCUGCAGAUCUGCAAACAGACCCUGCACUCCAGUCUGGGCAGGGGGCAGGCACAGAGGUUCACGAGCACCCCUCGCCCCUCCCUGGCUCCCCGGCCACUCCAUCAUGCUGCCAGACACGGGUCAUGGAAAUUUCCUCUUAGGCCCUCUAGUCCAGCCCAGGGAAUGUGGUUAUCCUUCCAACUUCAAGUGGAAAUUUCCGCUCUCCCCCUGACAACUAGUGGGAGACACAGUGGAGCUGCAGACAGAGAUCGUGGCAUUGGGGUGGAGGGUGACUCCUGGUUACAGGCCACACAGGGUUCAUCAGGGGGCCAGGCGUCCUCCUUCAAGAAGUAUUUAUGGGGCACCUCACCUACUGUGUGCUGGGCCCUAUUCCAGGUGCCAGGGACACAGGACAGAACAGGACAGGCUCAGUCUCCGGCCUCCGGAAGCAUCUCUCCUAAAGGGGGGAAGAGAACACACAUGAGUACUGCAGAUAAACUGAGGCGUCAUAAGGAAAAGGGCAUGAUGCUGGGGCAGGCAGGUGGGUUUUAGAGAGGGUGAUCAGGGAAGGCCUUGCUGCGGGCGAGGUGACGUUUGUGUGCUUGUCAGGGGGAACAGCAAGUACAAAAGUCCUGAAGCAGGGCCAUGGCUGUCAUGUUGAGGACGCAGUGGGCAGAGGAGAAGGUGAUGAGAUCAGAGAGUUUCCUGCAGCGCCUUCCCAGGGUAAGGACUUUGGAUUUUAGGCUUAGUGCCGUGGGGAGUCCACAGGACAUUUCUGAGCAGAGAGGGGAGAGGAUCUAACUACAUUUUAUUUAUUUAUUUACUUACUUAUUUUACAACCCGAGGAUGGUGUUCAUUUCAGUAUUGGGCAGAUUUCUUCUCAAAAGCUGCUCCAGUUUCAGGAGGCCAGCGUAAGCGUAUAUAUUUUGCCAGGGUAAAGUUAUACUUGUGAAUGAACUCAUGCAACAGACAUUCUGCAGUUGCAUCAUUGGAGGCAUUUGUAGCGGACAGUCAGAGGGCCUGACCCGUCCCCCUGCUGCUUGCUGAUCCACAUCUGCUGGAAGGCGGAGAGAGCAGCCUGCAAGGAAGCCACCGCUCCGGAUUUUUAGUGCCUAAGGAGAAACUGUCUUCAUUGGCCGUGAUUUCUCCCUGCGUUCUGUUGGCCCCCCUGCAAUGCUGUGUGGGCACACAGAUCCUUUCAGAGGUCAAUCGCACACUUCAGAACCGAGUUAAAAGUGGUUUCAUGAAUGUCACAGGACGCCAAGCCCAGGAACGAGGGCUGGAGGAGACGCUCUGGACAUCUGGACCUCUCAUGGCCAAGGACAACCUCCUGACCAUCAGAAGCUCACAGCCCUUCUCCGGGGAGGAAGCGGAGGACACAGCGGGGGCCAUCUCCUGCUCCAGGUCCAGGGUGAUGCAGCAGAGCUUUCCCUCCGCGUCACACACCAGUCCCUCUCAGCUGUGGUAGCGAGGCUGUAACCUCUUUCCGUCAGGCUCUCCUCCAGGAGGUCAUCUCCCAAGUCACGCUCAUUGCAGAUGGGUAACAGUCUGUGGAUUGGCCGUGGUCUGAGGACACCUCUUUGAUAGCAUCGAUUCAGGCUGUUGAGAGGUGGAUGCUGGCGUUGCAGAACCUCUCAGAUUGCCAGAAGGAACAAGGCUCCUGCAUCCCUGUUCCCCUAAGCAGGUACUUCUGGACACCAAGUCAAUUAACCUCAAGAUGUCCCAGGCCAGGCGCGCUGCGCUGACUUACGGCUGGAUCCCUCCUUCCAUCCCAGUCUGUCUCCCAGGACCUUCAGGAUGUACAUUGUUAUUAAAGUGUCCCCGCCAGUGGCCCCUGAUAAGCAUACAGAGCUGUGGGGUCGGGGUUGGAGUGGGGCGACCUGGGAGAGAGAAGUAUGUACAGGUAGAGGCCCGCCUUCUUUGAUUCCAACUCUAUACAAAACUUGGCCCAAGCAUCACCUCCUGCAGAAAGUCAUCCCGGGCCUGCAGCCAGACUGAGGGCCCCCGCCUGCGCUGCUGCAUCACAGAACAGGUCUCCCUGCAUUCACAUGGAACAGUUGACAUAGUAAAUUCGAAGGUGGUGCCAGCGCCUCUGGGGGUUGGAUGUGGUGUCACCUGCCUUGGUUCGAGGGUUUGACCAGAUUUCAGGGCUUGUCUGGGUGCCCCUGCGCAGGGUACAGUCUGUACAACUCUGAGCAGUGGCCCAGGUAGUUGGAGCUCCGGGCCCAUCUCUGGCAGACUUCAGGGGACUGGGGAGCAGGAAUUGUGUCUGGGACGUUGCAUCUUGAGUACAGAGGUCUCCGCCUGGUUGAGCAACAGAAAACACUGGCUUAAAAAAAUGUAGACACUCUGGCUCCAAUUUUAGGAAUUCUACCUCCAGAGGUCUGACAAGGGUCCUGAGUCUCGAAAACUUUUUUUUUUUUUGAAGAUGAUUAGCCCUGAGCUAACUGCUGCCAAUCCUCCUAUUUUUUGCUGAAGAAGACUGACCCUGCCUGAGCUAACAUCUGUGCCCAUCUUCCUCUACUUUCUAUGUGGGACGCCUGCCCAGCAUGGCUUGCCAAGCGGUGCCAUGUCCACAUCCGGGAUCUGGGCUGGCGAACCCCGGGCCGCCAGGAAGUAGAAUGUGCGCACUUAACCGCUGCACCACCGGGCUGGCCCCUUGACAUUUUGAAAAAGUGCCAUGUGACUCUGAUGCCCAGCUGCUGUCUGACCCAUAAGAGGUGUCUGGUGACUGUGCUCAUAGAAGUGCAGCACAUCUGUGGAGGGACACACAGGGAUCUGUGGCCUGCGGGGAGGGGAGCUGGGGGACACCAGAGGAAGAUGAGUCACUUUUUGUUAUACAUCUUUUUGUACUGAUUGGACUUUUAACCUAAAAAAAAUGUUUGACCAACUGAUGUUGUUGCUGUCAUCUAUGUGAGGGACCGCCAACUCUAGGCCUGCGGCUGGGGCCUGCAGUCCGGUGAAGGACAGGAGCAGGCCAGAGGAACGGAGAGCUGCAGAGCGCGUGUCCCACCUCAAGGGGGCAGCAGCCGCCCAGAGCCUGCUGACUGUGUCUGGGUGGGACUGAGCGCAGCGCUGCCAGAUCUUCCUACUUUUUCCAGAUAAGCCUGAAACCACAUUUUCAAGUAGAAUUAAUUGUCAACUAAUUCGAAAAUGUAGAACACAGCAUGGGCCGAACACAACACGUCUGCGAACCAAUUCUGGCUGCGGGCCACCAGUCCGUGCUGGCGGGUCUAGCAGGACGCUGUCAAGGACUGGGCACCUUGGAGGCCAAUCUGCAAAGCCAGGGCAGACCCAUCCUUCGCUUCUAGGAAAUCGAGUUCACUUCCCAUGGGGGUCCACACAGGACGAGGACAAAGCAGGUGCCCCAAGGCCCACAGGGGUCACCCGCCCACUCAAAAUGAUCUAAUUCCACACAUAUUUAUUAACCUCCCCUCGUGUGCCAGGCUGAGUGCUGGAGGUGGUGAAUGUGGUGAAUGUGACAGUCACAGUCCCUGGUCUCUAGGUGGGGAGACACACUUGAAAGAUAGUUGCAUAAUAAUUACAUUUGCGACAUGAGGAGCUGCAGUAUAGCAUGGGGAUCCUAAGUUUGAGUUUGAUUCCUGAUUUCACCACUUGCUAAUUAUGUCACUUUGGG
rnacentral:lncRNA from 1 species